CAUUUUUUAAAAUCUCCCAUAAGUUGUGUUUACCUGAAGCCAAGCAGCCCUUUUCCCCUCCAAUGAACCGACUCUGCCUUGAACUGGCAUCAUUCCACAUGCUCGCUCCUGUGGUGGCCGGGACAGCAUCUCACAGGAAUUUGAACCACAAGACCACCUGGAUGAUGGGAAGACCUCCCUCAACAUGUAUUGCAUGUCUCGCCACAAGGGGGCGCUCCCAGAUCAGACACAGGUGGCUGGUAGCCACCUGUCUCACUGCUGCCACCUACUGUGAAUGUAGUAUCUUUGCAGACUCACCCAGAAACGCUGCACCAAGGGUGUCCUGCCUGCGUAUGAUCUCCAGAAAGACCAGACACAGCCCUGAAGGCUGGCACAGGGUCACAACAGAGGAACAGAAUGUCCCCAAGACUUCCCUGGGUCACUACAAAAGAGAUGGGUCUUCUGGGGAGGCAAUGGGAACUAAACUGAGGGCCAACUAUGUACCCAAGCUUUACAUAACUCAAGUCAUUCACUCCACAAACAUUGAGGGCCUUGGUGGUGGCUAUCCAAUAUGGGGCGUGUGGAUAAAGUGAAGGUUCCUGUGGCCAGGAUUCUCACCUGGCCCUGGUCGGCUAGCUCACUGCACACGUGUGGGCAAUAUAUUACUAUUGACUACAUAAAGAACUCUGCCCAGUGCUCUGCACUGUGCGUUGGCACAGCUGCAAGGCUGCAAGUGAGCAGAGAUGCGGCUGGAGUGGUGGCAGCACCAAGGACAGAGACCAAGAUGGCUGUGGAGGCAGAGAGGCCCAGAGACAGAGACCGGCUUGCUGCAUGCAGACUCACUCUGAGUGGAUUGGAUUCUAGUGAUUGACCUGCCACUGUGGGAAUAAGGUUGGGUAUAACCCUUUCACUCCAAGAACGUUUCACUGUCAUUUCUUUGGUCUCAUUGAAUCCAUAGUGAUCUUGUCUGGGGCUGAAACCCAUUGGCAAGACCGUGAGGAAGUUGAAGGCCAAGCAGGAGACUUGACCCUCAGAUGAGUUUUUUGGCAGUCAAUCCCACUUUCUGCAACAUGUUGCUAAGCAGGAAAGUGGUCUCAGCUGUGGACUAGCUUCAGCCUGCUCCCACGUGAGCUUUGGAAUAUGAACUGCAGCCGUAUGAGGUACAGAGGGAGGAAAUGGCUCCGGGGACGCCCUCUCCUCCAGAGCUCUGCCGAGGGCCUCAGCGUCAGCGUUGAUUCAUUCACGAGGUCUCCCAGGACCUCCUUCCUCUCUCCAAAGGGGGAGUCUCCAGCGAAGAUCGCUGUAUGAGCUUAGGAGGGCGAGAUGAGUAAGACGGGGUGGUGGGGAUCCUCUGAGGGGCCCUGGCAGCCUGCACGGGCAGAGGUACACCUGUGCGCGACCUGCAGGCGGUUCAUUCUCGAUGCCUUUUCUCUUGCCUUCUUCCCAUCCAGCCAGGUGCCAUUCCUGACAAUUCCAUCCCCUUAAUUUUCCCACCCGGGCUGCCAUUGCUGUGUGGACAGGACACAAGCAGGGACUUUGGGAUCACCAAAAUCCCAACUCAGCUCUCCAGUGAGCUUGAGAAUGUCAGUGUUGGAGAGAUUUUUGUCUACAGAAAAGGUUCCUUGCAAGAGCUUGUUAUUUAAUUAACGUUCAAUGUAUUACAGUAGCUUUAAAAGGAAAAACCUAGUCAUUCUUAAGCCUUUAAGUUAAAUUUACAAACCAUUAUUCUAUUUCUAUACAGGUACUUUCAAGGGGCUUUUGAUUAAUGGUCAGUCCACUAAAACUCAGUUCAGCGAUCCAGCCAUUUGCAAAGUUGGUUAAUUGAAUUAUCUUCAACAUUUUACACAGGACUUACUAAUUUAACACAUCCAGUUUCCCUUUUUAAACACUUCCACUGCCUGACCUGACAAGCAAACUUUCCAAAGUACUUAAGCCAAUUUGGAAAAUCUAAUUUAAAGACUUAUACAUACAGUGAAUCUCAAGUUCUCUUACAGUCUUGUAUCAUUUAUAAAAUAAGUAUAAGAAGGUUUGUAUGCGUUUCAACAAAAAAUCCCAAGCCUAAAAUCAAUUAUGCAUUUUAAAUUGGAGUCACAAGGCUAAUGUGUUCAUACUCUAAUAUGCCCAAAAAAGUCUCUUCAAUGUUAUGAAUGCUUUAAAUAUCAAAUACACAAUGAUGUGCAUUUGACUCCUAAAACCUUUGCAGGGUUAUGGGCAUUUGCCUAGUAGAGAAACAGUUCUCCACCCUAAGCGGAUUGGGGUGACUUCCUUCAGUGCCUUGUGCCAUCUUAGGGGUAAAAGUUUCAUACUGUGGCAGAAACUUCUGGGUCCCAAUGUGCAUGCUCUGCUUCCUCCUUAGAAAUAGAACCUCAGAUUCUCAAUGAGCAUUUGGCCACCUGGAAUAAAGACACUAUCUCCCAGCCUCCCUUGCAGUUAAAAGUGGCCAUGUGACUAAGAACUGGCCAGUGAGAUAUAAGCAGAAAUACAUGUGGCAAUUUCAGAAACCUUUCUGAAAAGACAGCUGGUGUGUGUGUCCUUUCCCCCUUUCUUGUCCAUGCCUCCAUCUUGCCACCCAAUGAUUGUGAUGGUUGGCAUCUAGCUACUCUCUUAAACCUGGAGGACCAGGGCCCUACUCUUGGGGUGGUGGAGUGGUGAGCUGGAAGGAUCCUGGGUUUCAGAUGACUCCAUGGAGUAGAACAUUCAUUUCAGCCGCUGAUAGAUUGUUUGGAAUGAUCUCUCCCAUCCCAAUGCCCCUUGGCAGUGUGACUUUGCCCUCUUCCUGUCAAGAGCUGAAGUCUGUUUCCCUCCCCUGAAUCUGGACUGUUCCAGUGACUUGGUCCGGUCAACCAGGUUGGACAGAAUUGGCAUUGGGAGACUUCUGAGGCUAGGCUAUUAGGGGCCAUGUGGUUGUACAUUUGCCCUCUUGGCGUGCUGACCCCAGACCCCAGGUGGGGGAACCAGUCCCAGGAUCAGGGGAGGGUCCCAGCGAGGGGCACCAGCCACCAGGCACAGAGUGAGGCAACCUCCCAGCCGACUGCAGCUGCUGGGGGAGCCCACGAGCAGCUCAAAGGGAGGGCGCUCCAGCACCACAUAGAACAGAAGACAUAAACUGUCAUCGUUUUCAGCCACUAAGUUUCAGGGCAGUUUGUUUAUGCAGCAAAAGCUAAAUGGAGCACAGCCUUAGGCUGCCCACCUCUGGCUUCUUCAUGAGAAAGAAACUGAUCUUGUUUAAGUCAUAAAUGUUGUGGGGCUUGGGUGAACUGAAUCCUGACAUACCUGUGGACCAGGGAUUCUUGCUGGGACAUGAUACUCAGCAUCCAGGGCUGUUCCUCCAGCUGCUGAUAGACAUGCUGAGCUCUUUUAACUGGUUGCCAUGACAAUAAGGGACUCCAUUUCCUCUAAAGAGAUUGGUCUCAUGGGCAAUUAGAUUCUGGCCAUACCCAUUACCUAAUUCUCCUGUCUGAUCUAAAACUACCACCUCCCCCUCUUGCUCCCUGCCCACCCUCUGCCCAGGAGGUCAAACCAGCUUUCUUCACUAGUCUCCUUACAGCCUAAUUGAAUUCUGAAAGCUGUUUCUUACCCUUGCUGCCUGCUAGGCUGCAACUCACACAGAUAUUCAGAGGCUUCCUUUUGGAUUCUGCAUCUCUCUUCUUCCGUGCUCUGCGCUACAACAUCCCAGAAGGUGAGGUAGACAGAGACUGUGAGCUUCUCGGGCACUGCACUUUAGUUUCCUGAUCUGCAAGUUGUGACUGUGUUCUGAGCUCAUGCGGACGCUGGGAGAUCC